UGUAUUGUUGUCUUGGUGGUUAAGACAUUGGACUACUCAUCAGAAGGUCAUGAGUUCAAACCCCAGCAUUGCCA